GGCGCUCGUCGGGGAGGCUGGGCCGCGCAGGAGCCUACGGCAGCGGGGAGUCUCAGGCAUGGCGGCUGCGGGUCCGGAGCUCUGCCUGGCGGGGAGGCAGAUAAGGCCCGGCGAGAAGUGGAGCACAGCAGCUGCUGGCCUAGGCGCUAAGCCCCUCACUACCUGGGUGGCGGGGCCGGCUGGCUGCUGCGAGUGCUGGGUGGCGGAGCCCACGCCCACCCGGAACUCACGCUGGCCUGCAAGCGGCCAGUGCAGCCCCGGUUCUGGCCCGCACGUCUCCCUCCCCACCUCCCGGCAAGCUGAGGGAGCCGGCUCCGGCCUGGGCCAGCCCAGGAAGCGGCUCCCACAGUGCAGCGGUGGGCUGAAGGGCUCCUCAAGCGCGGCCAGAGUGGGCGCCAAGGCUGAGGAGGCACGGAGAGCAAGCGAGGGCUGUGAGGGCUGCCAGCAUGCUGUCACCUCUCACCUGGACACCCUCCACUGGUAACAGCAACACCUAGAACAAUAUUUGAUGAAAUAACUGACACAAUUUGGCACAUAAAACUGACCAUCACACUUGUCACAAACUUGCCACUGAAUUGGUGACUUCUGCAGGCUGGUGCCUAAGCUGCCUCUGCCUCCAGCUUGGGAAGAAGAAAUGUAAUGCCUUUGGUCAAGCCUAGUCUGGACUAGGAAGCAGGUUAUCUCCCGUGACUCAGGAAGCUCACCUAAAGAACAACUAAAAGUCUUGCAAAAAUGGAGGCAGAGGCUAAACAGCAAAAUUGUGAAGAGCAAAAAGUUUUGAAGAAAAGUGGCUUCAAGUAAGGCAGACACUUGUGGAGGAGGAAAGUUAAGGGAAACAUAGAACACAGAAGGAGACAAUGCUACUAGACCCAACAAGAUAUUGCUCCCAAGAAAGUUUCCCCAGAUUGCAAAAAUUGGAAAAAUUUCAACUCCUCAUCAUGCAAACUACUGCUUUGUCCAUGAACACCUUGUCAACUUCAAAGAUUCACUUCUGUUGGAAAUAAACAGCAUGAGCAGAAGGCUGCCAAGUUACAGAAAAUUUGAAGAUUCUUGAAGAUUCUUUGAUGACAACAAGUACUUUUUCAUUAAUUUGAAAGGAUAUUUUAUGAAUAGCCCACAGUUCUAAGAAAAAAAAUGAAGCCAAAGAUACUCAUUGAACAGUUCUAAGAAAAAAAAUGAAGUCAAAGAAAAAAAAGCUCAUUUUUUUCCAUGUGAAUUUCUGAGACUUGGCAGGGUGGCUUCUUGAUGUUGAAGUGCUGAAAAUGCUGAUUUUUAAUGGUUUUCAAUUGAAGAUGUGGUGAUGACAACAUCCCAAACAUAACUUUGUUCUUCCAAGAGGAAUUUCUACAGCAUCUUCACCGGCAGUAGAUGCUAUCUCAAGAAACCGCUUUCUUUGCUGAUUCAUUAGAAACAGCUCGUCAUUCAUUCAAGGGUGAUCAUGAGAUUGCAACAAUUUAGUCACGUCUUCAGGCUCCAUUUCAAAUUUAGAUAUCUUGCUGUUUCUACUAUACCUGCAGAGAUCACAGAAAAGCCUGGACCCUCAGAUGUGUCCUCAAGCUCAGCAAACCUACAUCGGCAGCUGCUCUUAUACUCAAAGAAGCUAGAUAGGAAAGCAAGAAGGCAAAAGGACUAGAGGAGAAUUUUUUUUUCACAUUUGCCCACAGGAGUAAGAGUUAGAUAAAUUUCAAAAGACCAAAACUAGACACCCGAGAAUGUCAGAAUAUAAGAUUCUGUGGUAUGUAACAUGAGUAUGUUUUAAAUAUUUUAAAGUAAUACAGAAUAUAAGCAAAAUUGGAAUGGAAAAAUAAGAUACCAUGAAAAAUGACCAGGCAUGUUUAAGAACCAAGUAAUGCUUUUACAAAUGAAAAGAAUAAUUAUGUAAAUAAAAUGUUAAUGAAAGUUUUCAACAAGCAGUGCUAGACCAACUGAAUAAUUGUCUUGAAAAAACUCCAUCAUAGAAGAUCUUAAUUUGAGGCUUAUAGGCCCAAAUGUAAAUGCUAACACAAUAAAGUUUAUAGAAGAAAAUGUUGAACAGUAUUUUCUCAGUCUUCUAGGCAAAAAUUCUUUAGAUAUAACAUAAAAAUGACCAACUAUAAAAUAAUAUAUGGGAUUUAAUCAAAAUUAAACUCUGGUCAUUAAAAAAUAUCUUUAAUAUAUUUCAAAUGGACAGACUGAGAUAGAGUAUUUGCAAUACACACAUCUGAUGAAAAACUUGCAUCCAGAAUGUAUAAAGAAAGCUUACAGAUGAAUAAUAAGACAAAUGACUCGAUUUAAAAUGGGCAAAAUAUGUGAACACUUUACAAAUGUGUACACAUACCCCCUUCACCUGCCUCACCCCUCAGUGCCCACCUUAUCACCAAGUACAAGAUAAGGUGCUCAAAAUCAAUAAUCAUAAGAGAAUUGCAAAUAACAUUGCUAUGAUCUGAAUGUGUCCUUCAGAAUUCAUAUGUUGAAACUUAAUGGGCAAUGUGAUAGUAUUAUGAAGGUGGGGCCUUUAGGAGAUAAUUAAGUCAUGAGGGUAGAGCCUUCCUGAAUGGGAUUGUGACCAUGUAAAAGAAGUCGAAGAGAGUGCCCUAGCCACCCCUUCCCUUCCUUUCCUUCUGUCAUGUGAAGACACAGCAUUUGUUCCUGUCAGAGGACAUAGCAACAAGGCACCAUCUUGACAGGAGUGAGACUCCACCAGACACUGAAUUUUCCAGGGCCUUGAUCUUAGACUUUUCUGCUUCCAGAACUGUGAGAAAUAAAUAUCUCUUCUUCAUAAGUUAUCCAGUCUCAGGUAUUUGGUUAUAGCAGGACAAAUGAACGAAGACAAAAACCAUAAAGGAAUAUGACUAUAUUCUCUAAAAUCAUUAAAAAGACUGACAACACCAGUGUUAGCAUAUGUGGCAACUGAGAUAGCCAUACACUGUUGGUAGGAAUAUAAAAUUUUAAAGCAUUUUGAAGAUCAAUUUGGCAGUUUCUUAUAAAAGGAAGCAUAUACUAACAAUUUUACUCCUAGGUAUUUACCUAAAAGUAAUGAAAGCAUAUGACCCAAAAGGAAUCAUACAAAACCUUUUAUAGUAGUUCCAUUGACAAUAGCCAAAACAUAUUUGCAACCUAAAUGUCCAUCAAAGCAAUGGAUUCAAAAUUUGGAUAUGGUCAUACAUACUACUCAGCUAGGAAAAAUCAUAUAAAUUAAUGUGUCAAAAAUCACAGUAGAUACAAAUGUACUAAACUUGCUGUGUAUAUAUAAAUAUUUUCAUGUUGAAUGAAAAAUUGCCCAGUGUUACAUUGCUUAUAACAUGUUACUCAUUAGGAUUAGGUUUAGCUGUCAGUAACAAUAGCAACAACAAAAUAAUAAUGUAGAAGACUAUUUUCUCAUCGUAAAGGAGUUCAGCGAUGAUAUGUCCAGUCAGUCCAGGAAAGGAUACUCACUUCACCAUCAUCACAGAGCAAGGUACUUUCAUUUUGCUCAUCUAUUAUAUUAAUUGUCCCACAGCAUUUGCAAACAUGGCUGCUCCAGCUACAGACAUUAGGUCUACAUUCCAGCCAACAAGAAAGAAGAUUUGAAGAAGGCAAUAUACCAUCUCUUUAAGAACUGAUUGAGGGAGCAAGAUGGCCAAAUAUAAGCCUCCACUGAUCAUCCUUCCCACAGGAAUACUAAAUGGAACAAAUAUCCACAUUAAAAAAACACCUUCAAUCUGGGCAUGGUGGCUCACACCUGUAAUCCCUGCACUUUGGGAGGCUGAGGUGGGAGGAUCACCUGAGGUCAAUAGUUCCAGACCAGCCUGGCCAACAUGGCGAAACCCUGUCUCUACUAAAAAUACAAAAAAAAAAAAAAAAAAAAAAUCAAACAAAACAAAAUACCAAUUAGCCAGGCGUGCUGGCGGGCACCUGUAAUCUUGGCUACUCGGGAGGCAGGAGAAUCGCUUGAACCAGGAGGCGGAGGUUGCAGUGAGCUGAGAUAGCACCACUGCACUCCAGCCUGGGUGACAGAGCGAAACUCUGUCUCAAAAAACAAACAAAAAAACAAACAACACCUUCAUAAAAACCCCAGGUCAGGUGAGUAAUCACAUACUUGGUUUUAACUUCAUAACACUGAAAGAGUCACUGAAGAGAAUAGGGAAGACACUCUUUAAUUGUUGCCACUACCACCCUCCCCCCAUCCCCUGGGAGAAGCUGUGUGGUGCAUAGAAUUUCUGUGCUUUGGAGAGACAGAGUGCAGUGAUUGUGGAAUCUUGCAUUGGAAUCCAAUGCUGCCUGUCACAGUGCUAAGCAACACAGGGCAGAACUCAGCUGCUGCCCAUGGAGAAAGCAUUUAGACCAGCCCUAGUCAGAGGAAAAUUGCCCAUUCCAGUGGUUGGAACCUGAGUUCUGGCAAGUCUUGCCACCAUGUGCUAAGGUGUUCUGGGAUCCUAAAUAAACAUGAAAAUCAGUUUAGGCCACAAGGACUGCAAUUCCUGGGAAAGUCCUGAUCCUGUUGUGCUGGGAUUGGAGCUAGUGGACUUGGGAGGAAUGUGGCCUACUGAGACACCAGCCAGAGUGGCUAAGGGAGUGCUUGUGCCACCUCUCCCACCACUCCAGACAGCAUAGCUCACAGCUCUGGGAGAGACUACUUCCCUCUGCAUGAGGAAAGGAGAGGGAAGAGUAAAGAGGACUUUGUCUUACGAUGUAGAAACUAGCUCAGUCACAGUAGGUUAGGACACCAGGCAGAGUCCUGUGGCCCCCUUUCCAAGCCCUAGCUCCUCGACAGCAUUUCUGGACACACUCUGGGCCAGAAGAGAACUUGAUGCCUCCAAGGGAAGGGCCCAGUCCUGGUGGGAUUCAUUACAUGCUGACUAAAGAACUGUUUGGCUUUGAAUAAUCAGCAACAGUACCCAGGCAGUACUCACCAUGGGCCUUGGGUAAGACUCACAGGCAUGCUGGCUUCAGGUGUGACCCAGAACAUUCCUAGCUGUGGUGGCAAUCGGGAGGGAAUCCUUCUGCUCGUGAAAAGGAGAGGGAAGAAUAAAGGGGAUUUUGUCUUGCAGCUUAGGUACUAGCUCAGCCACAGUGGGGUAGAACACCAAGUGGGCUCUUGCAGUCCCUGAUUACAGGCCUUGGCUCUUAGCAUUUCUGGACCUGCCCUGGGACAGAGGGAAGCCCACUACUCUGAAGGGAGAGUCGCAGACCUUGUAGCAUUCACCAUAAGCUGACUGAAGAGCCCUCAGGCCUUGAAUGAACAUCUGUGGUAGCCAGAUAGUACUCACCGUGGUACUGGGGUAGUAGUGGCCAUGGAAGGAUACUCAUCUGCUUGCGGAAUGAGGAGGCAAGAGUGGGAAAGACUUUGUCUUUUGUCUUGGGUGCCAGCUUAACUGCAGUAGAACAGAGCAUUAGGUAGAUUUUUAUCUAACUCCAAGUCCUGGCUUCUGGAUGAUAUCUCUGAGCCCACUUGGGACUGGGGUUGGUGGGGGACUCACUGUCCUGAAAGGAUGGACAUAAGCCUGUGUGGCUUUACCACCUGCUGAUUAUAGAGUAUAAUGCACAUAUGGUUGCAAUGACUAAAACUUAGAUCAUAACAUGCAAGUCUUCUUGAAUACCUGGAAACUCUUUCCAAGAAGGAUGGGUACAAACAAGUGCAGACUAUGAAGUCUACAAUAAAUACUUAACUUUGCAAUGUAUAGACACGAAUGAACAUCCACAAUCAUCAAGACCAUCCAGAAAACUUGACCUCACCAAAUGAGCUAACUAGGCACCAAUGAUCAAACUUGGAAGGACAGAGAUAUGUGACCCUUCAGACAGAGAAUUCAAUAUAGCUGUUUCAGGAAGCUCAACUAAACUUAAGAUAACACAGAGAAGGAAUUCAAAAUUCUAUCAGAUAAAUUUAGCAAGGAGGUUAACUUAAAAGAAUCAAGCAGAAAUUUAGUAGCUGAAAAAUGAAAUUGAAACACUGAAAAUGCACCUGAGGCUCUUAACAACAUAAUUAAUCAAACAGAAAUAAUUAGUGAGAUUGAAGAUUAUUU